CUAUAAUGAUUUAUGACAAUCCUUGACAGUUACAUGAAUAUAAGAAGGAGAAAGAGACAAGGCAUCUUAAAUUUGAUCCUGUUCUUUGCUUCAUCAGAUAAAUAGAUCUUCACUAGUUUAAGAUUUUAAAAAUAACUGCAAUCAUCAUAGUUUGUAGUGAAGUAAUAAAAUUCUCAUUGGGUCUUUUCUAAUGCUUUAAA